UGGGGAAUUUUGGACAAUGGGCGAAAGCCUGAUCCAGCAAUGCCGCGUGUGUGAAGAAGGCCUUCGGGUUGUAAAGCACUUUUGUCCGGAAAGAAAUCCUUGGCUCUAAUACAGUCGGGGGAUGACGGUACCGGAAGAAUAAGCACCGGCUAACUACGUGCCAGCAGCCGCGGUAAUACGUAGGGUGCAAGCGUUAAUCGGAAUUACUGGGCGUAAAGCGUGCGCAGGCGGUUUGCUAAGACCGAUGUGAAAUCCCCGGGCUCAACCUGGGAACUGCAUUGGUGACUGGCAGGCUAGAGUAUGGCAGAGGGGGGUAGAAUUCCACGUGUAGCAGUGAAAUGCGUAGAGAUGUGGAGGAAUACCGAUGGCGAAGGCAGCCCCCUGGGCCAAUACUGACGCUCAUGCACGAAAGCGUGGGGAGCAAACAGGAUUAGAUACCCUGGUAGUCCCACGCCCUAAACGAUGUCAACUAGUUGUUGGGGAUUCAUUUCCUUAGUAACGUAGCUAACGCGUGAAGUUGACCGCCUGGGGAGUACGGUCG
rnacentral:rRNA from 1 species